AGCCCCGCAAGGGGAGCGGCAGACGGGAGAGUAACAUGUGUGCACGUACCCUUCGGGUAGGAACAACCCAGGGAAACUUGGGCUAAUACCGGAUACGUCCGAAAGGAGAAAGAUUUAUCGCCGAAGGAUCGGCCCGCGUCUGAUUAGCUAGUUGGUGGGGUAAUGGCCCACCAAGGCGACGAUCAGUAGCUGGUCUGAGAGGAUGAUCAGCCUCACUGGGACUGAGACACGGCCCAGACUCCUACGGGAGGCAGCAGUGGG
rnacentral:rRNA from 1 species